rnacentral:rRNA from 1 species
CGAGCUUGCCUAGAUGAUUUUAGUGCUUGCACUAAAUGAAACUAGAUACAAGCGAGCGGCGGACGGGUGAGUAACACGUGGGUAACCUGCCCAAGAGACUGGGAUAACACCUGGAAACAGAUGCUAAUACCGGAUAACAACACUAGACGCAUGUCUAGAGUUUGAAAGAUGGUUCUGCUAUCACUCUUGGAUGGACCUGCGGUGCAUUAGCUAGUUGGUAAGGUAACGGCUUACCAAGGCAAUGAUGCAUAGCCGAGUUGAGAGACUGAUCGGCCACAUUGGGACUGAGACACGGCCCAAACUCCUACGGGAGGCAGCAGUAGGGAAUCUUCCACAAUGGACGAAAGUCUGAUGGAGCAACGCCGCGUGAGUGAAGAAGGGUUUCGGCUCGUAAAGCUCUGUUGGUAGUGAAGAAAGAUAGAGGUAGUAACUGGCCUUUAUUUGACGGUAAUUACUUAGAAAGUCACGGCUAACUACGUGCCAGCAGCCGCGGUAAUACGUAGGUGGCAAGCGUUGUCCGGAUUUAUUGGGCGUAAAGCGAGUGCAGGCGGUUCAAUAAGUCUGAUGUGAAAGCCUUCGGCUCAACCGGAGAAUUGCAUCAGAAACUGUUGAACUUGAGUGCAGAAGAGGAGAGUGGAACUCCAUGUGUAGCGGUGGAAUGCGUAGAUAUAUGGAAGAACACCAGUGGCGAAGGCGGCUCUCUGGUCUG